UACGUAGGGCGCAAGCGUUGUCCGGAAUUAUUGGGCGUAAAGAGCUCGUAGGCGGUUUGUCGCGUCUUAUGUGAAAUCUACAGGCUCAACUUGUAGUCUGCAUGAGAAACUGCCGGGCUUGAGUAUGGGAGAGGUGAGUGGAAUUCCUGGUGUAGCGGUGAAAUGCGUAGAUAUCAGGAGGAACACCUGUGGCGAAAGCGGCUCACUGGACCAUAACUGACGCUGAUGCACGAAAGCUAGGGGAGCAAACAGG
rnacentral:rRNA from 1 species